rnacentral:rRNA from 1 species
GACGAACCGUGCAAACGUUGUUCGGAAUCACUGGGCUUAAAGGGCGCGUAGGCGGCUCGCCAAGUCGGGGGGUGAAAUCUUUCGGCUCAACCGGAAAAGUGCCUUCGAUACUGGCGGGCUGGAGGGAGGUAGGGGCAUGUGGAACUCCGGUGGAGCGGUGAAAUGCGUAGAUAUCGGGGAGGAACAUCAGUGGCGAAGGCGGCUACCUGGCCCAAUACUGACACUCGAGGUCGCGAACACGGUGGGAGCAAACAGG